rnacentral:rRNA from 1 species
AGAGUUUGAUCCUGGCUCAGAUUGAACGCUGGCGGCAGGCUUAACACAUGCAAGUCGAACGGUAACAUGAAGAAGCUUGCUUCUUUGAUGACGAGUGGCGGACGGGUGAGUAAUGCUUGGGAAUCUAGCUUAUGGAGGGGGAUAACUACGGGAAACUGUAGCUAAUACCGCGUAGAAUUGAGAGAUGAAAGUGUGGGACCUUCGGGCCACAUGCCAUAGGAUGAGCCCAAGUGGGAUUAGGUAGUUGGUGAGGUAAAGGCUCACCAAGCCGACGAUCUCUAGCUGGUCUGAGAGGAUGACCAGCCACACUGGGACUGAGACACGGCCCAGACUCCUACGGGAGGCAGCAGUGGGGAAUAUUGCGCAAUGGGGGCAACCCUGACGCAGCCAUGCCGCGUGAAUGAAGAAGGCCUUCGGGUUGUAAAGUUCUUUCGGUAGCGAGGAAGGCAUUUAGUUUAAUAGACUAGGUGAUUGACGUUAACUACAGAAGAAGCACCGGCUAACUCCGUGCCAGCAGCCGCGGU